UUCCGGUUGAUCCUGCCGGAGGUUACUGCUAUCGGUGUUCGCCUAAGCCAUGCGAGUCAUAUGUAGCAAUACAUGGCGUACUGCUCAGUACCACGUGGAUAACCUGCCCUUGGGACCGGCAUAACCCCGGGAAACUGGGGAUAAUUCCGGAUAACGCAUAUGUGCUGGAAUGCUUUAUGCGUAAAAUGGAUUCGUCUGCCCAAGGAUGGGUCUGCGGCCUAUCAGGUAUAGUGGGUGUAAUGUACCUACUAGCCAGCGACGGGUACGGGUUGUGAGAGCAAGAGCCCGGAGAUGGAUUCUGAGACAUGAAUCCAGGCCCUACGGGGCGCACCAGGCGCGAAAACUUUACAAUGCGGGAAACCGUGAUAAGGGGACACCGAGUGCCAGCAUCAUAUGCUGGCUGUCCAGGUGUGUAAAAUACACCUGUUAGCAAGGGCCGGGCAAGACCGGUGCCAGCCGCCGCGGUAACACCGGCGGCCCGAGUGGUGAUCGUGAUUAUUGGGUCUAAAGGGUCCGUAGCCGGUUUGGUCAGUCCUCCGGGAAAUCUGAUAGCUUAACUAUUAGCUUUCGGGGGAUACUGCCAUACUUGGAACCGGGAGAGGUAAUAGGUAC
rnacentral:rRNA from 1 species